CAGUCGCCGCGGUAAUACGAAGGGGGCUAGCGUUGUUCGGAUUUACUGGGCGUAAAGCGCACGUAGGCGGAUCGAUCAGUCAGGGGUGAAAUCCCAGAGCUCAACUCUGGAACUGCCUUUGAUACUGUCGAUCUGGAGUAUGGAAGAGGUGAGUGGAAUUCCGAGUGUAGAGGUGAAAUUCGUAGAUAUUCGGAGGAACACCAGUGGCGAAGGCGGCUCACUGGUCCAUUACUGACGCUGAGGAGCGAAAGCGUGGGGAGCAAACAGGAUUAGAUACCCCUGUAGUCCCUGUCUCUUAUAC
rnacentral:rRNA from 1 species